rnacentral:rRNA from 1 species
UACGGAGGGAGCUAGCGUUAUUCGGAAUUACUGGGCGUAAAGCGCACGUAGGCGGACUCUUUAAGUCGGUGGUGAAAUCCUGGAGCUCAACUCCAGAACUGCCUUUUGAUACUGAAAGUCUUUGAGUAUGGGGAGAGGUGAGUGGAACUGCGAGUGUAGAGGUGAAAAUUUCGUAGAUAUUUCGCAAGAACACCAGUGGCGAAGGCGGCUCACUGGCCCCAUAACUGACGCUGAGGCA